rnacentral:lncRNA from 10 species
GCCAGCCUGCAGAGAGGCUGGGCCCAGCGCCCUGACUGACCCAGCCCCGCCACGUCCAAGGUUCCCGCCCUCUGGAGGAAGCCGCGCAAUCACUCCGGGGGCGGGGAGAGACAGACAACUGAGAGGAAGGAGGUACCACGGGCACUCUCUCGCGAGAGGGCCGCAGAGCCGCCUUUGACGGGGGCGUGUACCUGGAGAGCAACGGAGCCUAUGAGGUUGGUCCUAUUUUUACUCUCACUUAUCCCUACUUACCAGAUGAGGAUCCUGAGGCUCAGAAAAACUCUUGACAAAAUUCUCAGGGAAAACUCUUCAGCUCUGGAUGUCUCCCUUUUUGUGGAUCAAACACAAAGGGCAUCAUUCUAAAAUAUAUACAGAACCAUAAAAGCCCCAAAUAGCCAAAGCAACCCUGAGCAAAAAGAACAAGGCUGGAAGCAUCACACUACCAGACUUCAAAAUUUACUACAAAGCUCUAAUACCUAAAAUAACAUGGUACUGGCAUUAAAAAAAAAAAAAAAAUAGGCACAUAGACCACCAAUGAAACAGUAUAGAGAAUCUAGAUAUACCAACUCAUCUUUAACAAAGGUGCCAAGAACAUACAAUGAGGAAACGAUGGUCUUUUCAAUAAAUGGUGUGGGGGAAAGCUAGAUAACUAUAUGCAGAAGAAUGAAACAAGAUUCCUCUCUCUCGCUAUACACAAAAAUCAAAUCAAAAUGGAUUAAAGGCUUAAAUCUAAGACCUGAAACUACAAAACUAGAAGAACACACUGGAGAAGUGCUCCAGGACCUUGGUCUGGGAAAAGAUUUUUUUGUUUAAGACCUCAAAAGCACAGACAACAAAGCAAAAACAGACAAAUGAGAUUACAUUAAGCUAAAAAGUUUCUGCACAGCAAAGGAAACACUCAACAGAGUGGGGGAGACAACCCACAGAAUGAGAGAAAACAUUUUCAAACUAUCCAUCCGACAAGGGAUUAAUGACCAGAAUAAAGAGACCAAACAAUUUAAGCCAAAAACAAAACAAACAAACACACAAAAAAAACAAAAGCCAAAUAAUCUAAAAAGUGGGCAGGUUGGGUGGGGUGGCUCAAGCCUAUAAUCCCAGCACUUUGGGAGGCCAAGGCAGGCAGGUCAAGAGAUCGAGACCAUCCUGGCCAACAUGGUGAAACCCCAUCUCUACUGAAAAUACAAAAAAAAUUAGCCGGGUGUGGUGGCAUGUGCCUGUAGUCCCAGCUACUUGGGAAGCUGAGGCAGUGAGAAUCGCUUGAACCUGGGAGGCAGAGGUUGCAGUGAACCAAGAUCACACAACUGCACUCCAGCCUGAUGACAGAGCGAGACUCCAUCUUGAAAAAAAAAAAAAAAAAAGUGGGCAAAAGAUCCAAACAGACAUUUCUCAAAGGAAGACAUAAAAAUGGCCAACAGGUAUAUGAAAAAAUGCUCAACAUUACUAAUCAUUAGAGAAAUGCAAAUUAAAACAACAUGUUAUUUCACCCCAGUUAAAAUGGCUUGUAUUAAGAAAACAGAUAAUAACAGAUGCUAGUGAGGAUGUGGAGAAAAGAGAACCCUCAUACACUGUUGGUAGAAAUGUAAACUAGUACAACCACUAUGAAGAACAGUAUGGAAGUUCUUCAAAAAACUAAAAAUAGAAUUACCAUAUGAUCCAGCAAUUCCACUACUGAAUAUGUAUCCAAAAGAAAGGAAAUCCGUAUAUCAAAAAGAUAUCUGCACUCCCAUGUUUAUUGCAGCAUUGUUCACAAUAGCCAAGAUAUGGAAUUAACCUAAGUGCCCAUCAAUGGGUGAAUGGAUAAAGUGUGGUGGAUGGAAAGCCGAUUUCCAGUCUUUAUGAUAACGCCGAUGUUCCACUUGGGAAAGAUACUGUACAACAAUGAAAGUAGCCCUUUCUUUUGUCUUUCAAAGAAUGUAUUUUUAACAAACAGCCUCUGUGUGAUCCUUUUGACCACACAAUUUGUAGAGUUAACGCUGAAAUUUUCAUUAGCAACAAUGAAAGCACACACAGGCACAAUAUUAAUAUAGAUUAAUAUCAGCCUAUUUUGGUCAGAAAGGCUCAUUUAAAUGUUUAAGAGACAGAAGUCCCAAAUUGUAGUAAUUUCUUCCACUAGCAGGAGGAAGCUCAGAAUUAGUUUUUCUACAACACUAGAGGAAUACUACUCAAAAAUAAAAAGGAAUUAACCAUUGAUACAUGCAACAACACAGAUGAAUCUCAAAGUAAUUGUGCUGAAAGAAACCAGACCCAGAAAAAGAUAAAUUCUAUAUGAUCUCAUUUAUAUAAGACUCUAGGAAAUGCAAACUAAUCUACACAUACAGAAAACUGAGGGCAGGUACUGAGAAGGGUAGGAGGGGGGCGUUACAGAGAGGCAUGAGGAAACUUUUUGGGGUGAUAGAUAUGUUUACUACUUUGAUUGUAAGGAUGAGGUCGCAACUCUGUGCGUGUCAGUGGUAUAUUUUAAUAUGAACGGCUUAUUUUAUGUAAAUUCUACCCCUAUAAAGCUGUUUUUUUUAAAAAAAAAAACUUCUCUUUGAGAGACAUCACCUUUGUCUUUUAAACCAUCUAAUGUUGAAUCUAAAAGUUCAGUGUAAAGUUUAAUAAAAUCAGAGUGUGUAUGUGUCUUAAUUUCCAGGACAUAUAAUCAUAGUGAUUAAGCCAAAAGUGCUUAUAUGAUUACCUAUAAACUAUCAUAGUUAAAUGACUAAAUACCCUGCAUAAGGUAAAAUGAUUAUUUUAUUCCUAUAGAUUGAAAUUGCCCAACUUUUUAUUAGAGAAUAAUAGAUUAGAGGGCAUGUUGGCUCAUACCUGUAAGCCCAAUGCUUUGGGAGGCUGAAGCGGGAGGAUCCCUUGAGGCCAGGAGUUGAAGAUCAGCUUGGGCAACAUAGCAAGACCACAUCUCUACAAAAAAAUUUAAAAUAAAAUGUUUAUCCAAGCAUAGUGGCACUCACUCACCUGUAGUACUAGCUGCUGAGGAAGCUGAGGCCUGGAGUUCAAACUGCACAACGCUGCACUUCAACCUAUGUGACAAAGUGAGAUCCUAUCUCUAAAAUAAUUAAUUCAGUUUUUAUAAUUAGGGAACAUUUAAAUUCAGAUUAUAAGUAAAAAAUGGAAUAAACAGUCCUGUUACCUGAUAUGGUUUGGAUCUCCAUCCCUACCCAAAUCUUAUGUUGAAAUGUAAUCCCCAAUGCUGGAGGUGGGGCCUGGUGGGAGAUGAUUGGAUCAUGGUGGUGGUUUCUCAUGGUUUAACACCAUCGUCCCCUGGUGCUGUCGCCGUGAUGAUGAAUUCUCACGAGAUCUGGUUGGUUUAAAAGUGUGUGGCACCUCCCCCUUCUCUCUUGCUCCUGCUCCUACCAUGUGAGAUGCCUUGGUCCCCCUUUGCCUUCCGCCAUGAUUCAGAGUUCUCUGAGGCCUCCCCAGAAGCAGAUGCUGCCAUGCUUUCUGUACAGCCUGCAGAACCGUAAGCCAAUUAAACCUCUUUUCUUAUACAUUACCCAGUGUCAGAUAUUUCUUUAUAGCAGUGUGAGAAUGGAUUAAUACACUACGUCAUGCAAAAUGUAAAAACAGGCAACUCACUGAGAGUAAACCUAAUCAACUUGUUCAUUUAGAUAUAAACUGUAGAGACGACACUGCCAUCUAGUUGUUGAAUACUGAGUAUACUGUUGAAACAUUCUUGACAAUGUUCUAUUUCUCUUUUGUAGACUUACAAGGAACACACAGAAGCCCCUAACCAAUUACAUCUCCUUCCUAGGAGUGUGAAUGUGACUGCCAUAGUGCAGCCCAUGCUGCCCCUGGUAAUUAUAUGCCUCAACCCAAGCAGUGAUCUGUGGUCAGUGAUCUUUGAUGUUACUAUUUUGACCGUUUGUGGGCACCACAAACUGUGCCCAUAUAACAUCAGCGAACUUAAUAAAUGGUGUGUGUGUUCGGACUGCUCUACCAACCGGCCAUCCCCCUAUCUUUCUCCCUCUCCUCAAACCUCCUUAUUCCCUGAGACACAAUACUGAAAUCAGGCCAAUUAAUCACCCUGCAAUGGCCUCCCAGUGUUCAAGUUAAAAGAAGACUUGUACAUCUCUCAUUGUAAAUCAAAAGCUAGAAAUGGUUAAGCUUAAUGAAGAGGCAUGUCAAAAGCCAAGACAGGCUAAAAAAGCUAGGGUCUUGUGCCAAACCAUUAAUUCUUGAAGGAAAUUAGAAGUGUUACUCCAGUAAACACCUAAGAAAACCUUAUUGCUGAUACGGAGAAAAAGUUUUAGUGGUCUGGAUAGAAAAUCAAACCAGCCACAACAUUCCCUUAGGCCAAAGCCUAAUCCAGAGCAAGGUUCUAAAUUCAAUUCUAUGAAGACUGAGAGGUAAGGAAGCUACAGAAGUUUGAAGCUAGUAGAGGUUGGUUUAUGAGGUUUAAAGAAAGAAGUCAUCUCCAUAAAUAAAAGUGCAAGGUGAAGCAGAAAGUGCUGAUGUAGAAGCUGCAGGAGUUUAUCCAGAUCCAGCUAAGACCAUUGUUAAAGGUGGCUAUACUCAGUAACAGAUUUUCAAUGUAGAUGUAACAAGCCUUUUAUUGGAAGAAGCCACCUUAGACUUUCACCGCUACAGAGAAGUCAGUGCCUGGCUUCAAAUCUUCCAAGAACCGGCUGACUUGUUAAAAGCUAAUGCUGCUGGUGACUUUAUAUUGAAGCCAAUGCUCAUUUGCCAUUCUGAAAAUCCUAGGGCCCUUAACAAUUAUGCUAAAUCUACUCUGCCUGUACUCUAUAAAUGGGACAAAGCCUGGAAGACAGCACAUCUGUUUACAGCAUGAUUUACUGAAUAUUUUAAGCCCACCAUUGAGAUCUACUGCACAAAAAGAUUCCUUUCAAAAUAUUGCUGCUCAUUAACAAUCAUCUCGUAUCCCAAGAGCUCAGACGGAGAUGGACAACGAGAUUCAUGCUGUUUUCAAGCCUGCUAACACAAUGUCCACUCUAUAGCCCAUAGACCAUGGAGCAAUUUCAACUUUCAAGUCUUAUGAUUUAAGAAAUACAUGUUGUAAGGCUAUUGCUGCCAUAAAUAGUGAUUUCUCUGAUGGAUCUGUGCAAAGUAAAUUGAAAACUUUCUGGAAAGGAUUCACUAUUCUAGAUAUCAAUAAGAACAUUCAUGAUUCAUGGGAUGAGGGCAAAAUAUCAUUUACUGGAGUUUAGAAGUUGUUUCCUGUCCUCAGAGAUGACUUUUAAGGGUUCAAGACUUCAAUGGAGGAAGUAACUGCAGAUGUGGUAGAAAUUGCAAGAUAACUAGAAUUAGGCCAGGUGUGGUGGCUCAAGCCUAUAAUCCCAGCACUUUGGGAGGCUAAAGUGGGCAGAUCGCUUGAGGCCAGGAGUUUGAGACCAGCCUGGAGUGAAACCCUGUCUCUACAAAAAAUGCAAAAAAUUAGCCAGGCAUGGUGGCGUGUACCUGUAGUCCCAGCUACUCUAGAGGCUAAAGUGGGAGGAUCACUUGGGCCCAAGAGGUAGAGGCUGCAGUGAGCUGUGAUGGUGCCACUGCACUCCAGCCCGGGGGCAGAGCAAGACCCUAUCUCAAAAAGAAAAAAGGCCAGACGUGGUGGCUCAUGCCUGUAACUCCAGCACUUUGGGAGGCCAAGGCGGGAAGAUCAUUUGAGCUCAGAAGUUCAAGACCAACCUGGGCAACAUGGCAAAAUCCUGUCUCUACUAAAAAUACAAAAAUUAGCCAGGUGUAGUGGCACGCACCUGCAGUCUUAGUUCUUGGGAGGG